GGGGAUCUCCGCAGUGGCAGACGGGUGAGUACGCGUGGGAACCUUCCCUAUGGUACGGAAUAGCUCCGGGAAACUGGAAUUAAUACCGUAUAAGCCCCUCGGGGGAAAGAUUUAUCGCCAUAGGAUGGGCCCGCGUUGGAUUAGCUUGUUGGUGAGGUAAAAGCUCACCAAGGCGACGAUCCAUAGCUGGUCUUAGAGGAUGAUCAGCCACACUGGGACUGAGACACGGCCCAGACUCCUACGGGAGGCAGCAGUGGGGAAUAUUGGACAAUGGGCGAAAGCCUGAUCCAGCCAUGCCGCGUGAGUGACGAAGGCCUUAGGGUUGUAAAGCUCUUUUGGCGGGGACGAUAAUGACGGUACCCGCAGAAUAAGCCCCGGCUAACUUCGUGCCAGCAGCCGCGGUAAUACGAAGGGGGCUAGCGUUGUUCGGAAUCACUGGGCGUAAAGCGCACGUAGGCGGACUGGUCAGUUGGGGGUGAAAUCCCGGGGCUCAACCCCGGAACUGCCUUCAAUACUGCCAGUCUUGAGUCCGAGAGAGGUGAGUGGAAUUCCUAGUGUAGAGGUGAAAUUCGUAGAUAUUAGGAAGAACACCAGUGGCGAAGGCGGCUCACUGGCUCGGUACUGACGCUGAGGUGCGAAAGCGUGGGGAG
rnacentral:rRNA from 1 species